CUGGAACAACUUACCGAAAGGUGAGCUAAUGCCGGAUGAGUUAUAUAAGUGCAUGUUUAUAUAGGAAAAGUUGGGGAGACCUGACGCUGAAAGAUGGACUCGCGUCCCAUUAGCUAGUUGGUAGGGUAAUGGCCUACCAAGGCGACGAUGGGUAGCCGGCCUGAGAGGGUGGCCGGCCACACUGGGACUGAGACACGGCCCAGACUCCUACGGGAGGCAGCAGUGGGGAAUUUUGCGCAAUGCUCGUAAGAGUGACGCAGCGACGCCGCGUGAAUGACGAAGGCCUUCGGGUCGUAAAGUUCUUUCGACAGGGAAGAAAAUGCCUAUAAGUAACUGUGUAUGUAUUGACGGUACCUGUAUAAGCAGCCCCGGCUAACUCCGUGCCAGCAGCCGCGGUAAUACGGAGGGGGCGAGCGUUGUUCGGAGUGACUGGGCGUAAAGAGCACGUAGGCGGUGUUGUAAGUCAUUAGUCAAAGACUAGAGCUCAACUUUAGUAAGGCUAGUGAUACUAUAAUACUAGAGUAUCAGAGAGGAUUGCAGAAUUCCUGGUGUAGCGGUGAAAUGCGUAGAUAUCAGGAGGAAUACCGUUAGCGAAGGCGGCAAUCUGGCUGGAAACUGACGCUGAGGUGCGAAAGCGUGGGUAGCAAACAGGAUUAGAUACCCUGGUAGUCCACGCUGUAAACGAUGGAUGCUAGGUGU
rnacentral:rRNA from 1 species